rnacentral:tRNA from 1 species
GAGGGUAUAGCUCAGUGGUAGAGUGCAUGCUUAGCAUGCAAGAGGUCCUGGGUUCAAUCUCUAAUACCUUCA